CAAUAGCGUAUAUUAAAGUUGUUGCGGUUAAAAAGCUCGUAGUUGGAUUUCUGCCGAGGACGACCGGUCCGCCCUCUGGGUGAGUAUCUGGCUUGGCCUGGGCAUCUUCUUGGAGAACGUAGCUGCACUUGACUGUGUGGUGCGGUAUCCAGGACUUUUACUUUGAGGAAAUUAGAGUGUUUAAAGCAGGCUUAAGCCGUUGAAUACAUUAGCAUGGAAUAAUAAGAUAAGACUUGGGUCAUUAUUUUGUUGGUUUGCGGAUCGAGGUAAUGAUUAAUAGGGAUAGUUGGGGGUAGUUCAUAUUUCGUUGUCAGAGGUGAAAUUGCUUGGAUUUUCCGAAAGACGAACUACUGCGAAAGCAUUUACCAAGGAUGUUUUCAUUAAUCAAGAACGAAAGUUAGGGGAUCGAAGAUGAUUAGAU
rnacentral:rRNA from 1 species